CAGCAGCCGCGGUAUACGGAGGGUGCAAGCGUUAAUCGGAAUUACUGGGCGUAAAGCGCACGCAGGCGGUCUGUCAAGUCGGAUGUGAAAUCCCCGGGCUCAACCUGGGAACCGCAUUCGGAACUGGCAGGCUAGAGUCUUGUAGAGGGGGGUAGAAUUCCAGGUGUAGCGGUGAAAUGCGUAGAGAUCUGGAGGAAUACCGGUGGCGAAGGCGGCCCCCUGGACAAAGACUGACGCUCAGGUGCGAAAGCGUGGGGAGCAAACAGGAUUAGAUACCCAGGUAGUCCACGCCGUAAACGAUGUCGAUUUGGAGGUUGUGCCCUUGAGGCGUGGCUUCCGGAGCUAACGCGUUAAAUCGACCGCCUGGGGAGUACGGCCGCAAGGUUAAAACUCAAAUGAAUUGACGGGGGCCCGCACAAGCGGUGGAGCAUGUGGUUUAAUUCGAUGCAACGCGAAGAACCUUACCUGGCCUUGACAUCCACAGAACUUUCCAGAGAUGGAUUGGUGCCUUCGGGAACUGUGAGACAGGUGCUGCAUGGCUGUCGUCAGCUCGUGUUGUGAAAUGUUGGGUUAAGUCCCGCA
rnacentral:rRNA from 1 species